rnacentral:misc_RNA from 1 species
GUUUGAAGGAGAAAUUGAUGUAUUUUGUUAGAUUAAAACUUGAAUAUAAGCUUGGAUAUUGAUAUGUAUAUGAUUGGUCAUAUUUAGCAUGAAUUAGAAAUUGAGAAUUAGGAUUAUGACCCUAAGACUCAAAAUGGUCAAUUAAGACAAAUUAGGAUGUGUUUGAAUGGUUAGAAGUAAAACCAAAUUCGGAUAGGUAGGGGUCCAAUCCUAGACAGCCUGACCUAGGUCUUUU